rnacentral:piRNA from 1 species
AUGGUACGCUGACUCAAAGACGA